GUCACCAGCUAAGGAGCCAUAUUCUGAGCUUAGUGACCAGAGGGCCACUACAUCAGAGGCACCUUGGACCAGAUCCCACCGCACUCAGGUCUCUCAAGCACCUUCCUCUGAGCCUCAGGUGUGCCUCCCAGCCUACAUUGUGAUUCCAGCAGUGCAAGGAGUGCACAAGACAAGAGCCCAGGUAGCAUUGACCUGCCCAUCAACAGACUAGAGGCUUGGUCCUUUAAGGAUUGCAGUUCUCACAAAUGAGUGGAGGAAGCUAGGAGAGGUGGACUGGAGGCAGAGGUUGAAAAGGCCUUUGCCCUUUAGCCUUUGUUUGGGCACGUUGCUCACUCAGAGCUGUCUAUGGAGCUUCAAGCGCUGCCCCUUCACUGAACUGGAACAGGGCAAAGGCAAGGACAUGGUGUUUGGUGCUGCUUCACCAGCACUUUCCCAGGUGGGUGGGAUCAAGUUUCACAGGUGGGUGGGACCACCCACCCAUCAAUCACUGGGUGGCAUGAUGACACCCAAUGAUUGGCAGGUGGAUAGCCUUACCCAUGUCAAAGUUGGCCUACAGGAUGGGAGGAGAUAAGGAUCUGGCCCACGGGGAUGGGGAUGUUCCUGCAUCCACCUUAAAUAAAAGGGCUAGAGAUCAAUUAAUUUUUAUUGAAAACUAGAAAUUUAUAGACUGGACCUGAAAGAUAUUUGGAAAGUUAGCUCCUUUCUCUGGUGGCUGAAGCCUUGAGCUGUUGUAAUAAGCAGUAAUAUCCAUUUCCUGGAAGUGUUUGAGUUUUGCAUGUUUUAUCACAAACUGUAAUCCCAUAUCCUGCUUUAUAACAUGAGAUAGGGUAGUUCUAAUGUUUAGGCCAGCCUUUGGGUUGCAACCGAGCCAAAGUUAAACUUGUUACACACCAUUGAUAGCCAUUUGAGAGAGUUAACAUGUACUUAACCCUCUUGAUGACGGUAUCAGAAAAUUAAUGUGUUUUAUUUACUUAGUCAACUGAGGGGCAGCUUACUAUAUAAGAAAUAUCUCAAAGUGGUUUGCAAUUAGGGGUCAAGGAUUCUAAAUCAGCAAGGAGACAAGGACUCUAGAACAUACUGUAGGCUCAAUGCAUAUAUACAAAUUAUAUAAGUAGUCAACAAAUAUAAUUAUUUAAUAAAUACUCGUAUUUACAAUUGCAAAUUUAAAAGCUGGAGUUUAAAUAUAUAUACACGCAGGCUAUAAAAUUAUACAAAUAACAAGCAGUUCUAUCCAGAGAUCAAUCAUCAAAAAAUACUGUUUUUCAGUCUCUGAAACAUGCUACAGAUAAUAAUAAUAUUAAUAAUUACUUACUUUAUUAAUUAAAUUAAUUAAAUACCCUUCAUCUGUAGAUCUCAGGGCAGUUCACAACAUAAUUACAAUAUGAAAAACACAAAAUACAUAAUAAAAAUAAGAACAGAAGCAGACUAAUAACCCGCCCUCUCACAACACAUUUAAAUGGGCAUUGGAUGUCAGUCAGCUAAAGACCUGGUUGAAAUGGAAAGUUUUUGCUUGGCGCCUAAAGGUGAAGGUGUCAGCUGAACCUCCCUGGGGGCUCCACAAAUGGGGAGCUAGAGCUUCCCAGAUGGCAAAAGGAGAAGGUUCCAAAGAACACCUUUCCCAACACUGACCCACACAGUCAUCAGGAUCGUUGGAUGAGACUUGGUUGACUGGGCCUCAACUUGCAGUCUGCCAACUAGCAGCAACACAGAAGUGGUCCUUCUCCAUGGUAACACCUAUUUUAUUAUCCAGUGUGGGGAACCUUUAUCAGCCCAACGGCCACAUUUUCUUCUGGACAAUGUUCUGGGAACACAUGCAAGUGGCAGGAGGAGCCAGAAGCAAAAGUGAGUGGAGUUAAUGUGAAUUUGUACAAUAGGUCAGUUUCUACACAUGUGAACACACCCCUCUAUAUCCUCCAUCCAAGUCAGCAAGAGGCAUUCCAAGUUCAAGAAAACUUUCCAGCCCGCCAAAAGUACUAAACGAGGGUUUGAAGCAAGACUAGUAAGGGGUUUGACCUGGGAGAGUCCCAUGGGCCAGCUAGAAAGGCUUGGAGGGACAUGAAGUACAUACGGUAGUUUAAAUUUAAAUUGUAAUUUAAAUUCUCAUUGUUAUUGAUACAAAAUGCCUUUUGCUUUAGGGCAUGGGUAGGCAAACUAAGGCCCGGGGGCCGGAUCCGGCCCAAUCGCCUUCUAAAUCAGGCCCACGGACGGUCCGGGAAUCAGCAUGUUUUUACAUGAGUAGAAUGUGUGCUUUUAUUUAAAAUGCAUCUCUGGGUGAUUUGUGGGGCAUAGGAAUUAGUUCAUCCCCCCCCCCAAUAUAGUCCAGCCCCCCACAAGGUAUGAGGGACAGUGGACCAGCCCCCUGCUGAAAAAGUUUGCUGACCCCUGCUUUAGGGUCACCAAUCUAAGCAAUAGACGUUGCUAUACAUCAUUUCAUAUCUGUAAUAAUAAUUUUGGUAUAUAUAAGUUGACACAACUUUGUUAAUAUAGUCAGAAACAUUUAUUGGAGUGCUUAUUGUUUUAUUUUUCAUUUGAUGUAAUUGUUGCGUGUCGUAUGCUCCAAUCUAAACCAAGAUAACUCAGUGCAACCACGUCAAACAGUUUAAAGAUGAAAAUGAAUAAAAACUAUGAAAUGAAGGGAAGGCAAAAAAGAAGGGAAGGGAAGAGGGAAGGGAAGGGAAAGGAAGGCUUGGAGGGCUGCAUUGUACCUCUGGGUCUGAGAUUUCCUGCUUUAUAUGUUAAUAACAAGACCUUGAACAUGACUCCAUUACUGAUAGGUAGACAGUGCAGUUUAUUGAAGACCAGUGUAAUAGGUGUGGCCAGAUCCCCCAGUCUGUACCCUCCCUAGCCACCAAAUUCUGCACUAGCUACAGCUCCCAAAUCAUGACCAAGGAUUGUCUCACACAGAAUGCCAUGAGGUUACCAGUGCAUGGAACACAGUGGCCAAGCUGUCCCUGUUCAAGAAAGGCUACUGUUGGCCUAGCAAUUACUGUUGGCCUAGCAAAGCAGGCCAUGGGUGCUCCUCGCCACUGAGGUAAUCUGAACCUCUAAUGGCAGUAGUAUCAUUCCAGGAGCACCCCCAAACCACUUUUUUUCUUUCUUUCAGAGGGGAUGCAAUCCUGUUUGCAGCAGAUAAGAAUUUUGAUUCUCAGAUCUGGCAACCACUCACCCUCGAGUCUCCAUUAUAGAGAAAUGUGCAUCUGAUGCAUGUCUACUCAGAAAUAGGACACAUGAGAUUUAAUGGCUCUUGUUGUUGUUUAGUCGUUUAGUCGUGUCCGACUCUCCGUGACCCCAUGGACCAGAGCACACCAGGCACUCCUGUCUUCCACUGCCUCCCACAGUUUGGUCAAACUCAUGUUGGUAGCUUCGAGAACACUGUCCAACCAUCUCAUCCUCUGUCGUCCCCUUCUCCUUGUGCCCUCCAUCUUUCCCAACAUCCGUCUUUUCCAGGGAGUCUUCUCUUCUCAUGAGGUGGCCAAAGUAUUGGAGCCUCAGCUUCACGAUCUGUCCUUCCAGUGAGCACUCAGGGCUAAUUUCCUUAAGAAUGGAUGCGUUUGAUCUUCUUGCAGUCCAUGGGACUCUCAAGAGUCUCCUCCAGCACCAUAAUUCAAAAGCAUCAAUUCUUUGGCGAUCAGCCUUCUUUAUAGCUCUUACUUCCAUACAUCACUACAGUGAUACCUCACAAGACGAAUGUCUCGCAAGACGGAAAACUCGCAAAACGAAAGGGUUUUUGGUUUUUUGAGUUGCUUCGCAAGACGAUUUUCCCUAUGGGCUUGCUUCGCAAGACGGAAACGUCUUGCAAGUUUGUUUCCUUUUUCUUAAAACCGUUAAUACAGUUGUGACUUGACUUCGAGGAGCAACUCAUAGCACGCGGUGUGGUAGCCUUUUUUGAGGUUUUUGAAGACUUUGGUGAUUUUUGAAGCUUUCCCAAAACUUUUCCGACACCGUGCUUCGCAAGACGAAAAAAACCGCAAGACGAAAAAACUCACGGAACAAAUUAAUUUCGUCUUGCGAGGCACCACUGUACUGGGAAAACCAUAGCUUUAACUAUAUGGGCCUUUGUUGGCUCUUACUCCCAUGUAAUUGCACUGAAGCCUUUUCUCAUUCAAAGCAAUGGGGCUUAAGUCUUUCAUUUCGACUACAUUGCAUCCUUUGCUACACUCCCAUUUCUUGGGCUAGAUUUAGCCUCGGUCAUCGGCUGUUAUCUGCGCCGAUGCAUGGACAGGGCAUUGUGCAACCAUGUCAAAACAAAACGAAGUGUCCAGGCAGGAGGACGGAGGGUAUGUCAGACCACAUCUACAAAGGCCACGCAACUCUGUCAGGGUGAUUCCAGGUAGGCUGUUUAGAAAUGCUGAAAUGAAAUGAAACUAAGUCAAUUAAGUGAUACCAACCGAGGUUCAGGGUUUAAUUGAGGGCCUAAGGUGAAGCCAAUGACCAUUAACUCCAGUCGGUCAUUAAUUCACAAAGAAAUAUCCUUGGCUGAGGUUAUUCCUAUUAUAACGCAGCUUAAGCACUUCCGCUUCUAGAAAAAUAGUUUUGCUUUUUGCCCCUUGUGCUGAUGGAGAGGGAGGAGGGAGUAAUGUUGAGGGGAAAGUGGCCUGUGGCCUGGUUACUACUCUCCCGGAAAAUGAAUACACUUUGGCCAAUCAUAUCGUAUUUUUAGUUCACAUGCUUGAUGGCAGCAAUAGAACUGCGUCUGUGCUCAGUCAAAAUCUAUUACCCAUUGCAUUUUUAAUUAACAUUUAACAAUUAAAUGACUUUAAAUGACUUCUAACUCUGCAAACUUUUCUAAUAAAAUGAAAGUGUGACAGGAUAAGUACUGCAAGUUCAUGCCGUAAGAUAAAUUCUAAUGGCGAUAAUGAUUUGCGUGGUGCAGGUCCCUGCCAUUAACAUAAAUCCUGGGUUAUAUACCAAAAUCAUUAAGCAAAAAAUGCAAAUCACACAAACUUCAAUAAGAUUAGAACUGUGAGUGAUUAGUUUGGCUAAUCAACCAAAGAAAAUGCUUUCUUGGUUCUAUUUUAAGUCUGUUAAAGCUCACAUUGGAAACUGUGCAUGGUUUCUAAUGACCUGAUGGUUUUCGUGGCAUCAUUUUGUAACCCUCUCUCUUCUAGAAGGCUGGCACAUGAUUUGUUUCUUAUGUUUCGUUCCUUGCCGACUUGUAGACUGCAAUUGUAUGGAAUAUUUAAUAUUCCAUACUAAUAGUGUUAAGGGUGGAAAUCAUAACAGCCCUAUUCCUAUGAGACGCUGCAAAGACAUAUGACAAGGCUGUAUACCUAGCCUGUGGAGAAGUGACGCUUGAAGAGUGGGGGAAGAUCAAAGAAAUAAAAUGGAAGCACCCCUCCCUGAUCAUUAUAACAAAGCCAAUCUCCCAUCUGCCUUUCCAGCCCUUGUUAAUUGUGUUUAUGCAUAUAUAUAUAUAUAUAUAUAUAGGCAGAAAAGAGCAGCAGCCUGGGGAUUUGUCUCAGAGCAGGUGUUCUGCGUCUAAGAAGUUGUUUAGGAGUAAGCAUGGAGUUGUUUGUGUGAAUUGUCUGAAAACACCAGCAGAGGGCAGGAGGCAAGAAUUCUACAAGCAAGCUGGUCUUUAACUUCUAAAACUAAUUCUAUUGACGUUAAGAUCCUUAGUUGUUUAUUCUGCAGUAUCCCCAUUGUUUUUGGUGGGGCGAUUUAAAAAAGACACUUUGGGGAUUCAAGGCUAGCCUCCCAUCCAACUCUGUGCAAUAUCUCAAGGUAAAUGUUUUUUCCAAAGUUAUAUGUCUCUUGGAACAAACUAUGUACAGUUUCAGGCACAUCCAGUAUGUGUUCGACCAUGCACGCAUCACGUCAAACCUGGAAGUGACUCCCAAACAUCACAAAAAUGUCACAAAAAGGGGCAGAACGGGGCAGGGUGGGGGGCAGAAUUGGGUAUUUGCAGGUUUUUUCAAUGGUGUUUCAAAUAUACGCAAUUUCACUUAAAUGCGCGGUACCUUGCAACGUAACCCCUGCGUAAAUUGGGAGUUGCCUCUAGUGGCUUUAGAAAACAAAUGAUUCAAUCUUAGGGAAUUUUUAAUGUCAACUCUUCACAGGGUUACCCACAGAGUCUUUGUGACAUUUUAGCAGAUGUUAUCAAUGACGAGAAACAGCACUGGAAAUCACUUUGAUACGAUGGGGUCCUACAUGUCAGAUUGCCCUAAGGUUUGUGCACAACGAUAUGUAUCUGAGCACAUUACAAGAGCUAUGCUGGCCAGAGGAAGGCCAGCUACAAUUGGGAAUAAGAACUGGGGCUGUCAAUCAGAUGCUCCAGAGGUUUCUUCUAGAUAGGAAUGACCUCUGCUGGUUCCUCAUCCACGUAUACAGCAGGCAGAAAUCAUGGCGGAAUUCUCAUUGCAUUGUGGAAUCCCCAAAAAUGCCUUCUGGGGUGGAAUCCCAUGAAAAUGCUUCCUUUGCUAUGUUAGACUCAAGGCAAUGAAAGAACAACUUGAGAAGCAGCCAUUCAGAUGAGCAUAACAUUUCAAUUAUCAUUAGUAUCUUAAAUCUUUAUUCUGUGACUUUGAAGCUGUCCCUGCUGUGGGACUCUCCUAGAAUCAUUGGCUGCAGAAUUUCAGCUUGGCAACUCUAUCCGCAAACCAGGAAAACUGGAACAUUUGGAUUUAGACUAAUUUAAUCCCACUGAAGUCAAUGGUCACAUGGAAUCAAUGGUGCUAAAUGAGCUGGAGUCCAUGCACUGCGUCUUAAUCGGUUUUAGAUUGCAGUCUUACAGCACAAUCAAGUGAACAUUAGGCACACUUAAGUCCUGUUGGAAUUAGCGGGAUUUGAGUGGGCCUAAAUUUCUCUGGACUGCACCCUUAGGGUCUAAUCUUUCUAUUACUUUACAUAAUUGGGUUGCUUGUCUUGAAGACUUCUGAAAGAGAUGAAAGGUGCUGACUUAGCUUCUGAGCCACGUUGUUCCUCCCGCUUAGCCAACUCAUACCUGUGGCGUGGGGCUGUAUAUAAAUACAGCCUGGGCAGGGAAGAUGGUCCCUUGCGGCAUUGUGAUUAAUAGGUGCAUAUAGGCAUGUUACAGAACUGUGUUAUGGUUAUAAGCUCAUCAAUAUAUGGUUAUAAAAUAUAGUUAUAAGCAGUCCCCUGAUCUUUUGGACUCUCUAAUAAUAUAACAAUUGAUUAGCCAUUUAUUAAAAAACAUUAAGUGUUCAUUAGAUCUUCAUAAAUGAAAAAUUUAAAAGGUGUCUGUAACAGUUUCAGAAGAGAUAAAUAUUUAUUAAAUGCUAUAAAGACCCGUAAUAAUGAACCUCGUGACAUGCUUCAAGAGAUCACAAGUGUUUUAAUGUCAACAUUUGGCUUGGUUUUCUAGUGAUCCCAUAUUAGAAUCUCGUAUUCGUUGCUUUAAUUCUGGAACAAAUCAACUAGGGCAGUGGACAUUGUGGUCAGAAGAGGUGGGAGGAAGAAUAAGGAAAGUUUAGAUGGGAGGCUGGAGAGAGAGAGAGAGAGAGAGAGAGAGAGAGAGAUAGAACAAUGCGUAUCUUGCUGAGAUUCAAACUAUCACAUUCUGAAUGAGCUCGUAAACAGUACUAGCUUGGCUUAAACGCAAGAUAGUAUCUUAGCAACUUACCCAGAACUGUUUCUGGAAAAACUGGGGAUUCUGAGGGCUAGGAUUUUACAACCAUCAAAGGUUUGGGGGGAGGGGAACAGAAGUCGAAUCUCAGCGCCCAGGAAACAGCCCUGUCUACUCCCUGUCCAUUCAGGUCCUCAUCUCUGAUCCCACUAAAGCAGCAGCCACAUAAAAUCAACUUAAGUAAUUCUAGGAGAGUCUGAUCCACAGCCUGGCCCCCUUCUGCUUAGAUAGCUGGAGUCUCUUCAGGUUCGGGAUCUGGAGUUUAGUGGUUGGGAUGAGAAGAAGGAACACUCAUCAGAAAACAUCAGGACAGGCAAUGAUGGCACUGCAUCAGAUCUGCUUAAGAGACAAAUUGCAUUAGGCUCCUUCCUAAGUUGUCAUCUACAGCAGCCUGUGAGAGGAGAGAGGAGGCUGAAGGGUCUCUCCAGCAGCUCUGCUGAAAAAGCAACAAUUUUUUGAUCCUCUGGAAAAUAUGCCUUUGCUUCUGUUCACUAAGUGUCUGAGUUUGUUUUUCUCCCUGAUAUUAUUUUCCCCCUUUGUUUCAUGUCUCUUAGAUUGUGAACCUGAGGCUAGUGAUUGUCUUCCCACUGAUAUCAGUAAUCUGCUUUGAGAGGCUUUUAUCGGCAGAAAAGCAGCAUAAAAAUGCCAGUCGUCAUCACCGUCAUCGUCAUCACCAUCAUCUAUUUGACCCACCUUUUGACCUCUUCCGUCCCAGAUUCAUCCUGCCUAACCUAGAUUGUUUUUGCUUCUUUUAAGGUACUCCUUUUAAAAAAAAGUUUUGAUCUUUUUGAAGAGCACACACACACCUUUGGGUCAGCCACGCUGGGCAGGUGAGGAAGGAACUGAAUGGAAAUGGUUGCGUGAAAUUAUCAAAAUACCGAGAAGGGAUAGGGAAAAUUAUGCAUGCGCAUCCAUUACAAGGGAACAUAUGUAAGUAAGGCUUGCCAAAGGGGCAGGGGAAGAAGGACAGGCAACCAAGCAUGGCAGGCAGACACUGAAGAAAGAGCGAAGUUACUUUCUCUUUAAAAGAUGACACCUCGAUCGACUAUCCAAUAGCUUAAAGAACCCUUGUUCUUCUCUGCAGGGAAUAGGACACCUGUGUAAUGACCCGGGAAGGUCUUACCCUGCUUGAUUGAGGAGGACUCGCCCCUGCUGCUUUCCCCUUGAUUGAGGAAAGGGCAGCUGCUACUGAGGUCUCUGGUGAUGGUGGGCCUUUCCGUCUGUCCUCCUUGGGGACCCCACAGGCAGUCUCCAGCCAUGGUGAUGUUGACUGGCAGAGCUCUCCCUCUUUUCAAAAAUAGACACGAUUGCAAGAUUCAUUGUGGAAAGACUUCGUUGUUGAAGGGAGGGGGCAUGAAGUAUCGGGGGUGGGAGAAUGACACAGAGAGAAAGAGAAGAUCUUUGCUCUUCCCCAGUGUAUAUCGUGUCGUUAGGCUCUGGAGUCACAAACAAAUAUGAUUAAAAAGAGUUAUUAGCACAAACAGCAAAGGAAAUAGCUAAGCUGACUGCAAAAAAUUAAAUCAACACAGAACUGGUAUGGCAGAAAGGGAAUUAAAAUUUGAUUUAGGGAAAUUAUUUGUAGCACAACAUUAGAAGUCAGUAAGCUAAUUCCAAAAUCUGCACUUCCUUAAAAACGGAGGGAAUUUAUUUUCAACAUGAUCUUAUUGUAAUUAUCAGUAUGAUUCACUGCCUGCAUGAGUACAUGAGCCAGCGAUGAAAUCCAUGCAAUGUCAAGAAGGCUUAUCUCUUCCCCUGCCAUCUUUGGUUUCUUUCUUUCUCUCCUUCUGUGCCUGUGUGAAGAAGAGAAAGAAGACUGCAAAGUGCCUUGCUGAGUAUAAAAGCAACAUUUCUUGAAAUCUACUUUUCGAGCGAUCUCUGGAUUCCGAUCUUCCCACUGUUUUGAGCCAGCAAAUCUGAGACUUUUGGAACAACUUCUAGAAUUUACGCCUAAACAAUCACCCUAUGAAAAAUCAAGUUGAUAAACCAAGGUGAAUCUUUCUUCAUUGGUGGUUGAAAACUAAUCUAAUAUUAAUAUCUGAUUUUUCAUUUUCGAAUGGGUGUUAUGGAGAUGAAUUAGCUCAGAAACAGGCAAGAAACUUUCCCACAACAGACAUUAUUUCUUUUGCCCUACGCCACUCCUGGCCAAACACUAUUUAUAAGGUUUUAAAACAUUUUUAAAGCCCUGCAAACCCCAGUUACCACUUUCAUCUCCCUUGAGUGGCUGGGAACGGGUGACUAUAAUCUGUCCCCAGACUCACUUUUAUUGAUCUCCAGGGAUUGUCUAUUUAUACAGCAAACCCCAGCCGGCAUGAACAUUAGGGACGUUGGGAAUUGUAGUUCAGCAAAAUCUGAAGGGCCAGGGUUUGCCUUUGCUGAUUUAAAUUAUAGUAUUUUCUUAAUGUACAUAUGCAUAUAUACUUUAGCAUAUGCAAAUCUGUGCCCCCCCCCUUUGUCAUCUCUCUCUCUCUCUCUCUCUCUCUCUCUCCCUCCCUCUCUCUCUCUUUAUCCACUCUUCUUUCGUGCUGUUUACCGGUAAGUGACUAGCCAAUAUAAACACAAUGCUCCAAUCUUCUAAACCAUGGUUUGAGGGGUUGGUAAUAUGUUGUGGGUCAUGUUCUUCCUUCUCCUCCUCUUUUGCUAUUGUUCCCCAUUUUCUUUUUUCUGGUUCUGCUUCUAACCAUUGUCAAGCAAACGAUGCUUAGGGCAGGACUAUGGUUUGCAAUUCUCUUCAAGCUGCAGUUUCAAAUAAUGGUUUGGACAUAAUACCUGGUUAGCACACAGUAUAGUAUUCCCACUCACAGCAAACUAUGCUUAGGAAAGGGAGAGGAGAGAGUGAAUAAGCACUGGGCACAUUUCCAAGCUUCUCAAUCAAAAUGGGACCAUGACAUCUGAAUUGGUUGCAUGGGCACUGGAGCACUUGCUCAGGAACCCAGAAACGUCUCUGGAAAAGUCAUACUGCUUGAGGCCUAUGCUGAAAAGGGAGAAGUUAACCACAUUCAUAGCCCUGCAGCCAUGAAGCAGCAACCCUGAACAAGGUUGCCAGCUGUUCAGUUGGCCACUGUAGCUAUGGCCAUGUCAUAGAUACCUUCACCUGCUAAUUCCAGCAUAUCAAGCUGCUAUUAAAGUCUGGCAGCCCUAACAUUGAGAAUCUGGUGGGAUGUCUGUUCACGCAUGUCUGGACGUCAGAUGUAUCUACGCAGCUCAGCUAAUUCCCUAAAUAUGUUACAUCUGUACCCAAACUGUUAACUUAAUUUCAAUACCUCAGUUUAAGACGUGAUCUUGAUCCGUUCGUAGUGGGCCAAAAAUACUUUCUGUGUGAAAGCCUGCUGGAAGCCUGCCAUGAUUUCUCUCCCCCCACACACACCACCACCCCACCACCACCAAAUUUUCAUUGUCUCUCCAUUGUUCUCCUGUUUCCUCUUCCCCCUCACUUGGAAUCCUCUCCAGGGGUCCAGAUUGAGGGGCAGCUUGUGAAGCUUUCACAGUAGCUAACCACAGCCAACUUGCCAGGGC